AUCAAUAAGCGGAGGAAAAGAAACCAACAGGGAUUGCCUUAGUAACUGCGAGUGAAGCGGCAAGAGCUCAAAUUUGAAAUCUGGCACCUUCGGUGUCCGAGUUGUAAUUUGUAGAAGCAUCUUUUGGAUUGGUCCUUGCAUAUGUUCCUUGGAACAGGACAUCAUAGAGGGUGAGAAUCCCGUUCAUGGUGGGGAACCCAAUUCUUUGUAAAGUGCUUUCGAAGAGUCGAGUUGUUUGGGAAUGCAGCUCUAAGUGGGUGGUAAAUUCCAUCUAAAGCUAAAUAUUGGCGAGAGACCGAUAGCGAACAAGUACAGUGAUGGAAAGAUGAAAAGAACUCCGAAAGGAGAGUGAAAAAGGACGUGAAAUUGUUGAAAGGGAAGUGCUUGAGAUCAGUCUUAAGGUUUAGUGAUCAGUCUUCCUUUUGGUUGGUGCACUCACUAUUUCUUAGGCCAACAUCAGUUUUGGCGGCAGGAUAAUGACAUUGGAAUGUGGCUCUUUCGGGAGUGUUAUAGCCUUUGUUGAUACUGCCUGCUUGGACUGAGGACCGCGCUUUUGCUAGGAUGUUGGCAUAAUGAUCUUAAGCAGCCCGUCUUGAAACACGGACCAGGUGCAUAUCAAUAAG
rnacentral:rRNA from 1 species